rnacentral:rRNA from 1 species
CCGUGAGGCUUAACCUUACAACGCCGAAGGACCCCAUGCCGAACUCAGAAGUGAAACGUCGUAGCGCCGAUGGUAGUGUGGGGUCUCCCCAUGUGAGAGUAGGGAAUCGCCAGGC